rnacentral:rRNA from 1 species
GCAGUCGAACGAUGAACCACUUCGGUGGGGAUUAGUGGCGAACGGGUGAGUAACACGUGGGCAAUCUGCCCUGCACUCUGGGACAAGCCCUGGAAACGGGGUCUAAUACCGGAUAUUGACCUUCACGGGCAUCUGUGAGGUUCGAAAGCUCCGGCGGUGCAGGAUGAGCCCGCGGCCUAUCAGCUUGUUGGUGAGGUAAUGGCUCACCAAGGCGACGACGGGUAGCCGGCCUGAGAGGGCGACCGGCCACACUGGGACUGAGACACGGCCCAGACUCCUACGGGAGGCAGCAGUGGGGAAUAUUGCACAAUGGGCGAAAGCCUGAUGCAGCGACGCCGCGUGAGGGAUGACGGCCUUCGGGUUGUAAACCUCUUUCAGCAGGGAAGAAGCGAAAGUGACGGUACCUGCAGAAGAAGCGCCGGCUAACUACGUGCCAGCAGCCGCGGUAAUACGUAGGGCGCAAGCGUUGUCCGGAAUUAUUGGGCGUAAAGAGCUCGUAGGCGGCUUGUCACGUCGGUUGUGAAAGCCCGGGGCUUAACCCCGGGUCUGCAGUCGAUACGGGCAGGCUAGAGUUCGGUAGGGGAGAUCGGAAUUCCUGGUGUAGCGGUGAAAUGCGCAGAUAUCAGGAGGAACACCGGUGGCGAAGGCGGAUCUCUGGGCCGAUACUGACGCUGAGGAGCGAAAGCGUGGGGAGCGAACAGGAUUAGAUACCCUGGUAGUCCACGCCGUAAACGGUGGGCACUAGGUGUGGGCAACAUUCCACGUUGUCCGUGCCGCAGCUAACGCAUUAAGUGCCCCGCCUGGGGGAGUACGGCCGCAAGGCUAAAACU